UACGGAGGGGCUAGCGUUGUUCGGAAUACUGGGCGUAAAGCGCGCGCAGGCGGCCUUGCAAGUCGGGCGUGAAAUCCCACGGCUCAACCGUGGAAGUGCACUCGAAACUGCUUGGCUAGAGUCUUGGAGAGGAAGGCGGAAUGCUUGGUGUAGAGGUGAAAUUCGUAGAUAUCAAGCGGAACACCGGUGGCGAAGGCGGCCUUCUGGACAAUG
rnacentral:rRNA from 1 species